UCACUUUAACCAUAUCUACAUGUACAUACUACCUCAAUCAGCCUGACUAACCGGUGUCUGUAUGUAGCCUCGCUGCUGUAUAUAGCCUGUCUCUUUACUGUUGUUUUAUUUCUUUACUUACCUAUUGUUCACCUAACACCUUUUAUGCACUAUUGGCUAGAGCCUGUAAGUAAGCAUUUCACUGUUGUAUUCGGCGCACGUGACAAAUGAACUUGAUUUGAAGUAAAGAUACCUUAAUAGAAAAUGACUCAAGUAAAAGUGAAAGUCACCCAGUAAAAUACUACUUGAGUAAAAGACUACAAGUAUUUGGUUUUAAAUAUACUUAAGUAUCAAAGUAAAUGGAAUUCCUAAAAUGUACUUAAGUAUCAAAAGUAAAAGUAUAAAUCAUUUAAAAUUCCUUAUAUUAAACAAACCAGAUGCCCCCAUUAUUAUUUUUAUUAACGAUAGCCAGGCACACUCCAACACUGAGAUAUCAUUUACAAACAAAGCAUUUGUGUUUAAUGAGUCUGUUAGAUCAGAGGCAGUAGGGAUGACCAGGGAUGCUCUCUUGAUAAGUGUGUGAUUUGGACAAUUUUCCUGUCAAAAUGUAAUGAGUACUUUUGGAUCCGGGAAAAUGUAUGGAGUAAAAAGUACAUUCUUUUCUUCAGGAAUGUAGUGAAGUAAAAGUAAAAGUUGGCAAAAAUAUAAAUAGUAAAGUAAAGUACAGAUACCCCAAAAAAACGACUUAAGUAGAACUUUAAAGUAGGAUUAUUUAAGUACUUUACACCACUGGGCGAAAGGUAUGGCAAAUAGGUCUGGCAGCCCAACUGAUUGGCAAACGUACUGCAAAUGAAGAAAACAUGUGACUAAGCUAAAUAAAAAUAAACUAUACUAUGAAACAAAGAUAAAUUAUAUAAAGAAUGAUAGUAAAAAGCUUUGGAGCACCUUAAAUUACAUUGAAUCAGAUGGCUCAUUUAUCACAAAACCCACUGAUGUUGCCAACUACUUUAAUUGGGGCUAGGGGGCAGUAUUUUCACGGCCGGAUGAAAAACGUACCCAAUUUGAACAGGUUACUACUCCGGCCCAGAAACUAGAAUAUGCAUAUUAUUAGUAGAUUUGGAUGGAAAACACGCUGAAGUUUCUAAAACUGUUUGAAUGGUGUCUGUAAGUAUAACAGAACUCAUAUGGCAGGCAAAAACCUGAGAAAAUACAAGCAGGAAAUGAAAAUCUUGUGGCUGUACUAUUUUCAAGUCAUUGCCAAUAGAACACACAGUGACAAAGGAUUCCUUUUGCACUUCCUAAGGCUUCCACUAGAUGUCAACAGUCUUUAGAAAGUUGUUUGAGGCGUCUAUGAUGAACAGAGACCGAAUGAGAAGGUGGGGAAGUUGGUCACCCAGGGAAUGACAUCACUUCAUUGGUGCGCGUUCAUGAGGGAGGAACCUCUGUUCCAAAACAUUUUUCAAGACACAGGAAUGGUCCGGUUGAAAUGUUACUGAAGUUUCACGUUAAAAUGGCCCUAAAGAUUGAUGCUACACAACGUUUGACAUGUUUGAACGAACGUAAAUAGAUUUUUUUUUUUACUUUUCGUCGUGACACUUUCCUCGCGCGUCCUACAUUUUGAGUAGCCUACUGAAUGCGCUAACAACAUGGAGUUAUUUGGACAUAAAUUAUGAACUUUAUCGAACAAAACAACAUUUGUUGUGGAGCUGGGAUACCUGGAAGUGCCUUCUGAUGAAGAUUAUUAAAGGUGCUUCAGAUCUGUCCAUGCAUCAUAAGAGAAUAUUAUUUUGUUCGCUCUGAAGUGGAGGGAAGGAUCAGGAUCAUCAAUACAUUGUAAGUUAAAGCCUAAACCAAGGUCCUCCAACACUGGUCCUGGAGAGAUACUGUGUGCAGGCUUUUGCUCCAGCUCAUCAUUAAUACACAUUCAAAGAAUAACGGUCUUAAGUCUGGUCUAUGUUUAGCUGAAUCAAGUGCACUGCAGGGCUGGGGGGGAAAAAAACCUACACAUCGAGUUUGUAUUUGUAUUUAUUAUGGAUCCCCAUUAGCUACUCUUCCUGGGGUCUGGCAAAAUUAAGGCAGUUAUACAAUUUUAAAAACAUUAUAAUACAUUUCUUACAGAAUUCACAAAACACUAAGUAGGUUCCCUCAGGCCCAUACUCCACUACCACAUAUCUACAACGCAAAAUCCAUGUGUACGUGAGUGUAUAUUACGUAUGUUAUCAUGUGUGUGUAUGUACAGUGCCUUGCAAAAGUAUUCAUCCCCUUGGCGUUUUUCCUAUUUUGUUGCAUUACAACCUGUAAUUUGAAUGGAUUUUUAUUUGGAUUUCAUGUAAUGGACAUAUACAAAAUAGUCCGAAUAGGUGAAGUGAAAUGAAAAAAAUAACUUGUUUCAAUAAAUUCCCCCAAAAAAUUUACGAAAAAGUGGCGCAUGCAUAUGUAUUCACCCCCUUUGCAAUGAAGCCCCUAAUGUCACGUCCUGACCAGUAUAAGGGGUUAUUGGUUAUUGUAGUUUGGUCAGGACGUGACAGGGGGUAUUUGUUUUAUGUGGUUCGGGGUUUAAUGGGAUACGUAUUUAUGUAAGAGGGGUGUUUGAGUUAUGUGUUCCGGGGUUUUUGGGUAAAGUUCUUGUUUUGUAUUUCUAUGGUUUUCUAUGAUGUGUAUUUCUUUGUUGGCCUGGUAUGGCUCUCAAUCAGGAACAGCUGUACAUCGUUGUUUCUGAUUUGGAGUCAUACUUAGGUAGCCCUUUUUUUCACCUGUGGUUUGUGGGAAGUUGUGGUUGCAUAGUUGUGUGUUUUAGCCUGCAAUCCUGUUCGUUCGAUCGUUUUCUUGUUUUGUUUGUGUUCAAUAAAAGUCAUUAUGAGCACUCAACCCGCUGCGCCUUGGUCCACUACGUAUGACGACCGUUACACCUAAAUAAGAUCUGGUGCAACCAAUUACCUUCAGAAGUCAAAAAUUAGUUAGAUUGCACACAGGUGGACUUUAUUUAAGUGUCACAUAAUCUGUCACAUGAGCUCAGUAUAUAUACACCUGUUCUGAAAGUCCCCGGAUUCUGCAACACCACUAAGCAAGGGGCACCACCAAGCAAGCGGCACCACAAAGACCAAGGAGCUCUCCAAAAAGGUCAGGGACAAAGUUGUGGAGAAACACAGAACAGGGUUGGGUUAUAAAAAAAUAUCCAUAACUUUGAACAUCCCACGGAGCACCAUUAAAUCCAUUAUUAAAAAAUGGUGUCACCCGUUUUCCUCAUUAGUCUCUGGGUAUUUAUUCAGGUGUUCCCUGUUUGUCUGUUGCCAGUUUGUCUUGUCAAGUCAACCAGCGUGUUUUUCCAUGCUCCUGAUUUUUGUUAUCUCUCUUUUAACCUCUAUGGGACCGGCGGGACGAAUUCGUCCCACCUACGUAACAGCCACUUGCAGCCUGUGGCGCGAUUUUCAAAAUCUUAAAAAUCCUAUUACUUCAAUUUCUCAAACAUAUGACUAUUUUACAGCCAUUUAAAGAUAAG
rnacentral:lncRNA from 1 species